rnacentral:rRNA from 1 species
AUUGAACGCUGGCGGAAUGCUUUACACAUGCAAGUCGAACGGCAGCACGGACUUCGGUCUGGUGGCGAGUGGCGAACGGGUGAGUAAUACAUCGGAACGUGCCCAAUCGUGGGGGAUAACGUAGCGAAAGCUACGCUAAUACCGCAUACGAUCUAAGGAUGAAAGCGGGGGAUCGCAAGACCUCGCGCGAUUGGAGCGGCCGAUGGCAGAUGAGGUAGUUGGUAGGGUAAAGGCCUUCCAAGCCGACGAUCUGUAGCUGGUCUGAGAGGAUGGUCAGCCACACUGGGACUGAGACAAGGCCCAGACUCCUACGGGAGGCAGCAGUGGGGAAUUUUGGACAAUGGACGCAAGUCUGAUCCAGCCAUUCCGCGUGCAGGAUGAAGGCCCUCGGGUUGUAAACUGCUUUUGUGCAGAACGAAAAGGCUCUGGUUAAUACCUAGGGCUCAUGACGGUACUGUAAGAAUAAGCACCGGCUAACUACGUGCCAGCCGCCGCGGUAA